rnacentral:rRNA from 1 species
GGCCCAGAUCGUUUACCGUGAAAAAAUUAGAGUGUUCAAAGCAGGCAGAUCCAAUUCCCACCGAAUACAAGCAUGGGUAAGGAAUAGGACCCUGUCCUCUAUUUUCAGUGUUGCAGGGAGGAUAGGGUAAUGAUUAAUAGGGAUAGUGGGGGCAUUAAUAUUUAAUUGUCGAGGUGAAAUUCUUGAUAUGAAAGAAUAAUUUUGGAAAGCAUUGCCAAAUGUUUUCAUUAAUCAGAAGAAAGUAGGGAUGAAGAGAUCGAUACCGUCGUAGUUUACCAUAAACGAUGCCGACCAGCGAUUAGGGACUGAAUACAAAACACCACCAUCGGGCGGUCGUCCUGGGUCUGGUCCUUCACGGGGCCGCGCGCGGGGGGCUAGCCCGUGACCCCA